GAGCCCCAAACAGGCUUUUACUUCUAGUUAACAAUCUUCUGUGUGACCACAUAGUCAAAGAGAAGACAGAUUAAAAGAGGCCUGUGGAGGCAGUAGUUGGCUCCAGAGCUGGGACAGAUGCCCCUUAUCAGUGGACACCUUGAAGUAGGUUUUGGAUGGGCUGAUGUUUCUUCUUCUGACCCUAAAACUUCCUGUCAGGAUGCUGGCAUACUCGUCCACAUGACUCGGAUAUCCCUUUGCUCCUGAGCCUGUGCUUCCUGUAGAGUCUUGAUUUUAAUUGUAUUUUGGUUUUUUGGUUUAUUUUUUGUUUUUGAGAUGGAGUCUUGCUCCGUUGCCCAGGCUGGAGUGCAGUGGCACGAUCUUGGCUCAUUGCAACCUCCACCUCCCAGGAGAAUGGCAUGAACCCAGGAGGCGGAGCUUGCAGUGAGCCAAGAUUGCACCACUGAACUCUAGCCUGGGCUACAGAGCGAGACUCCGUCUCAAAAAAAAAAAAAAAAAAAGAGAAAUGAAACAAACCAAUAAUACUAGUAGGCACCAUUUAUAGAACAC
rnacentral:lncRNA from 10 species